UCCCCAUCUGUCACUGCACGGUCACCGCAGCUACCCGGACACUCCCGGACCUCCGGGACCUAGGCACCUCGAGGUGUCAGCGCUGCUCUGCUCUACACCGGUCGCCCCAAGCGACAACCACAAUGCUCUGUGUGGGAGUGAGACCCGGCCUCCGCCAGCCCAGGGACCAGGAAGUGGCAGAGACUGUGGGAGUCAGUGGGCCAGCGUUCCCCCUGGGUAGGCGUAUGAAAACUGCAAACACCGUUGCAUCAGGAGACCUUUCAGGAAGACCUGCCUUUGCUUUUUCCUCUGCUGCUAAUUUGAAGCAAGAGUCCUCUGCUCCCAGAAUCAGGCUGCACUCAGAACCAUUGUUGGAGUAGUCUGGAAACUGUUGCUGAGGAAGUCUGGAAAUUGUGGCUGACCCAUUGUCCUUGCCUCCUACCAGCUGGUGGUGCAGCUUCUGAUGGUAGGGCAGUUUCUGACUGGCUGCCUGAGGUCUGGAGUUUUUUCAGUAACUGAAUUGCCCAGUUCUUGGAAACAGAGAUAUAGGCCUAGUCUCCUGAACUGCCAGUUUGAAGCCUGUUCUGGAUUCAGCCUGUCUCAGAGGAAAAUGAAGAAGGACACUUUCUGGAAGUUAUAUAUCACAUCUGCAGACAUCCCAAAAGCCAGACUCCAUUUACAUCUGGUUAAAGAAUGAUUACAGUGUUUAAAAGAUUGCUUCAAAUCCAUGCCUUCAAGAGGAUCACUAAUAAUGCAGAAUUUAAAUAUUAAAGAGGAGCAGACUAAA
rnacentral:lncRNA from 1 species